UACGUAGGGUGCGGGCGUUGUCCGGAAUUAUUGGGCGUAAAGAGCUUGUAGGCGGUCUGUCGCGUCUGCUGUGAAAAUCCGGGGCUCAACCCCGGACUUGCAGUGGGUACGGGCAGACUAGAGUGUGGUAGGGGAGACUGGAAUUCCUGGUGUAGCGGUGAAAUGCGCAGAUAUCAGGAAGAACACCCGUGGCGAAAGCGGCUCUCUGGAACGGUACUGACGCUGAGACGCGAAAGCGUGGGGAGCGAACAGG
rnacentral:rRNA from 1 species